GACGGGGCCGCACAAGCGGUGGAGCAUGUGGUUAAUUCGACGCAACGCGAAGAACCUUACCAGGUCUUGACAUCCCUGACAACCAGAGAGUUGGGCCGUUCCCCCGUUCGGGGGGACAGGGUGACAGGUGGUGCAUGGGUUGUCGUCAGCUCGUGUCGUGAGAUGUUGGGUUAAGUCCCCGCAACGAGCGCAACCCUCGCCUCUAGUUGCCAGCAUUCGGUUGGGCACUCUAGAGGGACUGCCGGCGACAAGUCGGAGGAAGGUGGGGAUGACGUCAAAUCAUCAUGCCCCUUAUGACCUGGGCUACACACGUGCUACAAUGGGCGGUACAAAGGGCUGCGAACCCGCGAGGGGGAGCGAAUCCCAAAAAGCCGCUCUCAGUUCGGAUUGCAGGCUGCAACUCGCCUGCAUGAAGCCGGAAUCGCUAGUAAUCGCGGAUCAGCAUGCCGCGGUGAAUACGUUCCCGGGCCUU
rnacentral:rRNA from 1 species